GGAGGAAUAUUGGGCAAUGGGGGAAACCCUGACCCAGCAACGCCGCGUGAAGGAAGAAGGCCUUCGGGUUGUAAACUUCUGUGACAGGGGACGAAAGAAAUGACGGUACCCUGAGAGGAAGCCACGGCAAACUACGUGCCAGCAGCCGCGGUAAUACGUAGGUGGCGAGCGUUGUCCGGAAUCACUGGGCGUAAAGGGCGCGUAGGCGGUUGUUCAAGUCGCAUGUGAAAUACCAGGGCUUAACCUUGGGGGUGCAUGCGAAACUGGAUGACUUGAGUGCAGUAGAGGUAAGCGGAAUUCCUGGUGUAGCGGUAAAAUGCGUAGAGAUCAGGAGGAACACCGGUGGCGAAGGCGGCUUACUGGGCUGCAACUGACGCUGAGGCGCGAAAGCGUGGGGAGCAAACAGG
rnacentral:rRNA from 2 species